AUGGAGGCGAAGUGCGCAGCUAUCUGGAGCUCUGUCGAUGGGAGGAGCGAGGAGUCUGAGAUGAUUGCUCACCUGCAGUCCAUGUUCUGGAGCAACAGUGAUGCUGCUGUCAACCUUUGCUCUCCAAGCACCAGUGCCAAUUCUUGUGUUGCAGCUAGCACAGUGCAUAGUAAUUUGUUCCUUCCUCUUGACAUGGAGAGCCAUAUCACAACCCCAAUGGUGAACACUGGCAUGGACCUAUGCUUUGAUCACCGGCAUCAGACCGUUACUGGUCACAAGAGGACAUCCCAUAUGGAUGAGCAGAUCAAGAGAACUAGCCAGAAAUCCCGGACUGUUCCCUCGGUAUCAGAUGCUCUGUGUUUAAGCCUAGCUGAUAACGAGACCAAUGGUGACACUGUCAAUCAGAGCUCUUCGUCCUGCUGCAGCUCAGAAGAAGAUUCGAUUGCCGCAUCUGAGGAAUCCUUUGUUCCGAACCAGGGUGACAAUUCAAGAGGUUGCAGGCGGCCUUCGAAGAAUUUGCAGUCUCUUUAUGCAAAGAGGAGAAGAGAGAGGAUCAACGAGAAAUUGAGAGUACUGCAGCACCUGAUUCCCAAUGGAACCAAAGUUGACAUUAGCACAAUGUUGGAGGAAGCAGUCCAGUAUGUCAAGUUUCUGCAGCUGCAAAUAAAGGUCUUGAGCUCUGACGAGACAUGGAUGUACGCACCUCUCGCCUACAAUGGUAUGGACAUCAGCCUGAGUCUGAGAAUUACCGCAGCCCAAGAAUGA
rnacentral:rRNA from 1 species